GGCAGGCCUAACACAUGCAAGUCGAACGGCAGCACGGGUGCUUGCACCUGGUGGCGAGUGGCGAACGGGUGAGUAAUACAUCGGAACAUGUCCUGUAGUGGGGGAUAGCCCGGCGAAAGCCGGAUUAAUACCGCAUACGAUCUACGGAUGAAAGCGGGGGACCUUCGGGCCUCGCGCUAUAGGGUUGGCCGAUGGCUGAUUAGCUAGUUGGUGGGGUAAAGGCCUACCAAGGCGACGAUCAGUAGCUGGUCUGAGAGGACGACCAGCCACACUGGGACUGAGACACGGCCCAGACUCCUACGGGAGGCAGCAGUGGGGAAUUUUGGACAAUGGGCGAAAGCCUGAUCCAGCAAUGCCGCGUGUGUGAAGAAGGCCUUCGGGUUGUAAAGCAC
rnacentral:rRNA from 1 species